rnacentral:rRNA from 1 species
GACGAACGCUGGCGGCGUGCUUAACACAUGCAAGUCGAACGGAAAGGCCCUGCUUUUGUGGGGUGCUCGAGUGGCGAACGGGUGAGUAACACGUGAGUAAACUGCCCUUGACUUUGGGAUAACUUCAGGAAACUGGGGCUAAUACCGGCUAGGAGCUCCUGCUGCCUGGUGGGGGUUGGAAAGUUUCGGCGGUUGGGGAUGGACUCGCGGCUUAUCAGCUUGUUGGUGGGGUAGUGGCUUACCAAGGCUUUGACGGGUAGCCGGCCUGAGAGGGUGACCGGCCACAUUGGGACUGAGAUACGGCCCAGACUCCUACGGGAGGCAGCAGUGGGGAAUAUUGCACAAUGGGCGGAAGCCUGAUGCAGCAACGCCGCGUGCGGGAUGACGGCCUUCGGGUUGUAAACCGCUUUCGCCUGUGACGAAGCGUGAGUGACGGUAAUGGGUAAAGAAGCACCGGCUAACUACGUG